AUGCUUUUAUAAACAAGCUAGCUCAUGACCUUAUAAACGAACUUGUUCACGAGUUUAUUUGUGAGCCUAUUCAAUGAGCUUGUUUAAUGAGCUGGCUCGUGAGCUUGUUAAACUACCUGACUGGCGAGCCUGUUUAACUUGACUCGCGAGCUUGUGAACGAGCCGAGCUCGAGCUUGAGCCAAAUACUGUUGAACUCGAGCCUAGCUCGUUUAAAAAAUGAAUCAAAUUGAGUCGAGCUCGAGCUAGAGCCCAAUACUGUUGAACUCGAGCAUAGCUCGUUUAAAAAAUGAAUCGAACCGAGCCGAGCUUAUAUCAAGUUGAGCCUUGAGUAGCUCACGAGCAACUUGAUUCAUUUACACCCCUAGUGGUUUGGGAGACAUUAAAUUAUUUCUACAAGCUAUCUGGAUAAGAGCAAUUUCUGGAAAAAUUCCGAAAUCCAAAGGGCUUGAAAGAUCCCUUGACAUCUUCUGACAUGGAAAUAAAUUGAAGCUUAAAGUUUCACUGAGAAUACAUAUGUAUGUCCAGAUUAUAUUGUUUAAAUUUGAGGAUUAUAAUUUGAGGAUGAUCAAAUGGUUAGAAUAUUAGAUAAAAAUUCGGAUAUACGAACAGCCAGAUUGAGAACUUGUGUAAAAAUGUUUGUUCAGUCAUAGAAAAUAAAUUAUUUUUAGUAUCUAGAAUUUUAGCUUGACGUAAAGUUUUGUAUACCAAAUAUUUGAUAUGUUAGGAAGCUUGUAAUUUAAUUUGGAGUCGGUGAAUUUAAAAAUUUAUAAUGAAUUUUUAUAUAUAGGUUGUCUGGUUUUGUAUCAUGAGAAGUACUCUUUGCUUGCUUGUAUAUUUAACUUGGAACCCAAAGCUUUAGUGUGAGUAUACAGACCCUCUAGAUUCCAUCAUUUCCUUUUCUUAUGUCAUUUAAUUGUUAGGCCACUUCAUUAAUUUGACUAUGAAUGAGUUGUGCAAAAAGGGUUAGAAUGAUUGUUAGACUAAAUGGAGGAAAUUGUAAACAAAUUCCCUUCCUUUAUUUCCGUACUAAACUUUUAUAUGAUGAUGUUGCGUGAGUUCACAAGACAAAACUUUUAAUUUUUGCUUUCCCUUGGUAACUAAAAUACAUUCUUAUUCAUAAAAGAGUAAGCUUUAUUGUAAAGUAAAUGUUAGUAUAGUGAAAUUUUUAAUGGAAAUCUAUGGGUGAUGAAAUGUACUAAAACAAGGUCAAUUAAUUUGUGACCAUAAUCCUAGUGGAAGGACGAAUGGAUACUUACAUGACUGUAGUGAUGUAUUAAAAAUUCUCAAGGAUUGACAAACUACUUGUGUUUAUUUAUGCAAUUAAGAUUUUGUGAGCACCUGCAUUCUAAACGGUUAUGAUAACUUGAGUAAGGUGAUGAAAUGUGAUGUGGAAUAAAACUCGGAAAAUUUGGGUUGUAUACCUAAAAUGCAUGAGAAUAGUUAAGAUACCUAUUUAUGCAUAAUUUAUAGUUGAGGGAAAUUCCUAAAAAUCUGAUAAUAGUGGCGUUGCCACUUUUGUUAUUUGGAUAUAGUGGCGUUGUCACUUCUGUUAUUUGAAUCUAAUGGCUUUACUACAUCUACAUCUCUAUAUCUGACUCUAGUGGCUUUGCUAUAUCUGUAUUUUGCCACAUCUGUAUGUAAAUUUAGCGGCUUUGCCACAUUUAUAUCUGGUUCUGGUGGCUUUGCCAUAUCUGUGUCUAACUUUGGUAGCUUUGCUACGAUUAUGUUUUCCCUCAACUCUAAAUCUAUGCAUAUAGGGUUCAAAAUAUAAAAAGAAUAAGAAUGGACAAUAGCUCAUUAAAUGAAUGAUAAAUUUGAGAUAAGGUUAUAGUGAGUGCUAAGGGUCUCGGUAAAAGGAUUAAAUGAAAUAGCUAAUAUUACACCAGGUAUUAAAUUACUAGAAACUUGAUUAAUCACUAGGAUGUUGUGUUCUGACUAAUGAAGAUUGUAAUGGUAGGUACUUUUGUGCAAAUAAACAAAUGAGAUUUCAUUAUUGAAUAAGACAAAUUAUGAAUUGUCUAAAAAUAUGCAAAACUAAAUUGAAUUAGAAAUUGUAAACUAAGAUCAAAAUUUAUUUUAAGUUCUGAAUAAGGAAUUUAUAGUAAUAUGCCACCGAAAUUUGUUUUUAGAUGUAAGUACAUACCAUAUAAUGUAUUAAAAUUGAGAAAUUUUGCAAAGCUUACUAAUCCAUGAAUUAAACUAAUGGUUUUAAAUUAUGUUUGCAUAAUUUUGAAUAAUGGGAUAAUUUCCCAUUUUAUGUCACUAUUAGUAAAAAAUAAUUGCUAGAGAAAAUAUGAAAAUACUGAACUGUUGAUUAUAACUUAUGGAUGGUAAUCUAAUGAUAUGAUAAAUAUGUUGCUUAACUGACUAGUAGAGUUUUUCUUGAUGAAUAUGGAAAUACAAAAUCUUCCAGAAACUCUGAAUCUAAUGUUCCAGGAAUCAUUUAUUAAUUCUUGCUAUUUAUUAAAUUUAUUGAUUUAAUAAUAUUUAUGAUUUCUGCAGGUAUUGAUAAGUUUGCUUUUGUGUCAAGGAUUGUAGCUUGGAGUAUUGGCUCAGUUGAACAAGAAUAACGGUAAAUCUACUAAGACUAGAAGACAAUUGUAAUAGUCAAAAACUCAAGUAACGUAUAUGAACAUCUGCAUGCAUUAUUAGAAUUGUAAAAUACCAUAAAAAAAUGUUAGCUUAGCUUUGGGAUAUGUGACGAGUACUUGUCAUAAUAUAAUUUGCAAUAAUUGAUUAUUACAAAGAAAUUGAAUGUUGAAUUUAAAAUUAUGGUUUCAUAGAUUUGAUUACAUAUUAUUCUGUUGAUUUUUUUUUAAAAUAGUAUUACUUAAGAAAAAUAAAUAUGAGAAAUCUUGAUUGACUAAAUGAACUAAUCAGUUAGAAAUUAUUAUACAUGCGAUUGCAGUUCUAGAUUAGUAACGUAAACCAUAGGCGUUGUGAACACUAGUACCUUAAGAAUUUGGUUUUGACAAUGGAGAAUAAAAAAAGUGGCAGAUGUCAAUGAUAAGGUCAACAGCCAAAAUAUUUCAAAGUGAGUCCUCUUUUCCAAUAAUUGUAACAGUUAUCUAUAUUACAAUGCCAGAGCCACAAUUCCAUUUAAUGUAUUUUAUCCAAAGUUUCUGCUUCUUCCCCUUCAUAGAUGUUGGGAAAAUAAAGCAUUCUUCAUAGUAGAGCACUAUCGAAAGUGCUCGAUUAAUUUUGGAUUAGAUUGUAAUAAUUAAAAGUGAUGACGGUCGAGUUAGUGAAUGCGUUGAAGAAAAUUAGUACUUCUUUGAUUAUUUGAGUGUCAAAGAAUUGAAGAUAGGCAUUAAAUACAAUUCAAGCGUGCACUGACCUCUCUGCUGUAAGUCCAAAUCACUAGAAACAUAUUUUUCCACUUACUAUAUGUAUUAUAUGAAGAUAAAGAUCCGUAGACAAUUUGUUCAAGCUCGAUAUUUGUAGAAGCAAGGUGAGAUUAUUUAGCACGCAUAUUUCAAAACUAUAACAAGUUUAUCAUAUGGGAUUAAGAAUUUGUUGUUGAGUCAAGUUUUAUGAUAAAUUAUACCUUUUCAGAAACAUGAGCAUGGAAGAAGCAAAAGAAAAGAAAGAAAUUGAGAAUGAGGACAUGGAAGAGACACAGUAUGAAGCAGAGAAAUUAGAAAGAGCCCAACCAUGGACAAAGCAAAUCACUAUAAGAGGACUGCUAGUGAGUGUUGUGAUAGGGGCCAUCUAUAGUGUUAUAACCAUGAAGCUGAACCUCUCAACUGGGAUGAGUCCUAAUCUAAAUGUUUCUGCAGCACUUCUUGCUUUUGUUUUUAUCAGAACAUGGACAAAAACGCUUCAUAAGGCAGGAUAUGUAGCCAAGGCCUUUACCCGGCAGGAGAAUACUAUGAUUCAAACUUGUGCAGUUGCUUGUUAUAGUAUAGCUUUGGGAGGUGGGUUUGCUGCUUACCUUUUGGGAUUAAACAGGAAGACAUAUGAGUUGUCAGGGGAACAUACUGAGGGGAACUCUCCAAGAGCUAUAAAGGAACCUGGAUUUGGUUGGAUGACUGGCUUCCUUUUCCUAGUUUGCUUUGUUGGCCUUUUCGUCUUAAUUCCACUUAGAAAGGUGUCUACAUAAUCUCUACUUUCUAGUUUCCAUUAACUUCUUGCUUUGAAAGAUCACAAAAGUGCUGUUACAUUUUUUUUCCAACUUAAUUUGUAAGUUUAUUGGGUUGAAGACCAUAGGACGCCAGUGGCAUCAUGGAGUCAUAACUCCCUUCUUAUUUUAUAUUAAUUUUCUAAAUUAAAAAAAAAAAAUUUUGGGCUUUGUGUUGUAAAAUAAAGUUCUGCUUUUUGAAUCCAUAUUCAAAUGGGUUAUUAUUAAUUAUUGAUUUUGAGGAGUUGUUGUAACCCAGAUCAUGAUUGUAGACCUCAAGUUGACUUAUCCAAGUGGCUUGGCAACUGCAGUUCUCAUCAAUGGCUUUCAUGCCCAAGGAAAUAAGAUGGCUAA
rnacentral:misc_RNA from 1 species